rnacentral:rRNA from 1 species
GACGAACCGUGCGAACGUUGUUCGGAAUCACUGGGCUUAAAGGGCGCGUAGGCGGCUUGCCAAGUCAGGGGUGAAAUCUUUCGGCUUAACCGGAAAACAGCCUCUGAUACUGGCGAACUAGAGGGAGGUAGGGGUGCGUGGAACUUCUGGUGGAGCGGUGAAAUGCGUAGAUAUCAGAAGGAACGCCGGUGGCGUAAGCGACGCACUGGAUCUCUACUGACGCUGAGGCGCGAAAGCUAGGGGAGCGAACGG